AGACAGCAGCCCCACGGUAAUACAGAGGGUGCGAGCGUUAAUCGGAUUUACUGGGCGUAAAGCGUGCGUAGGCGGCUUCUUAAGUCGGAUGUGAAAUCCCUGAGCUUAACUUAGGAAUUGCAUUCGAUACUGGGAAGCUAGAGUAUGGGAGAGGAUGGUAGAAUUCCAGGUGUAGCGGUGAAAUGCGUAGAGAUCUGGAGGAAUACCGAUGGCGAAGGCAGCCAUCUGGCCUAAUACUGACGCUGAGGUACGAAAGCAUGGGGAGCAAACAGGAUUAGAUACCCCAGUAGUCCCUGUCUCUUAUACA
rnacentral:rRNA from 1 species